GCUCUUUUACCCGGGACGAUAAUGCGGUACCGGGAGCAUCCGCCCCGGCUCACUUCGUGCCAGCAGCCGCGGUCAUACGAAGGGGGCUAGCGUUGUUCGGCUUUACUGGGCGUAAAGCGCACGUAGGCGGAUCUUUAAGUCAGAGGUGAAAUCCCAGGGCUCAACCCUGGAACUGCCUUUGAUACUGGGGAUCUCGAGUCCGGGAGAGGUGAGUGGAACUGCGAGUGUAGAGGUGAAAUUCGUAGAUAUACGCAAGAACACCAGUGGCGAAGGCGGCUCACUGGCCCGGAACUGACGCUGAGGUGCGACAGCGUGGGGAGCAAACAGGAUUAGAUACCCUGGUAGUCCACGCCGUAAACGAUGGAUGCUAGCCGUUAGGCAAGCUUGCUGCUAAGUGGCGCAGCUAACGCUUUAAGCAUCCCGACUGGGGAGUACGGUCGCACGAUUAGAACUCACAGGAAUUGACGGGGGCCCGCACAAGCGGCGGAGCAUGUGGUU
rnacentral:rRNA from 1 species